UUCUAUGCAAAAAACCGUCUC
rnacentral:piRNA from 1 species